rnacentral:rRNA from 1 species
CGCAUCUGUGCAUGCAGCAUAUCAAUAAGCGGAGGAAAAGAAACUAACAAGGAUUCCCCUAGUAACGGCGAGUGAAGCGGGAAGAGCUCAAAUUUGAAAUCUUAAAGGGUUUCCCCUUACGAAUUGUAGUUUAAAGAAGUGUUUUCUGUUGAGGUUUUGGUAAAAGUUCUUUGGAAUAGGACAUCAUAGAGGGUGAGAAUCCCGUAUUUGACCUUUACUUUCAACUUUGUGAUACACUUUCAAAGAGUCGGAUUGUUUGGGAAUGCAGUCCAAAAUGGGUGGUAAAUUUCAUCUAAAGCUAAAUAUUGGCGAGAGACCGAUAGCGAACAAGUACCGUGAGGGAAAGAUGAAAAGAACUUUGAAAAGAGAGUUAAACAGUACGUGAAAUUGUCAAAAGGGAAGCGUUUGACACCAGUGUUGUUUUUCUGAAAAUCAAUUAAAGAACUGUUUAUGCUAAGCUGUUUAGACUUUAUCAGCUAAUCUGUUUAGUUUUGAGCUUUUCUUUAAUGCACUUUUCAGUUAACAAGUCAACAUCAAUUUCUUUUGCUGUAAAAAAGCUUGAGGAAGGUGGCUUGAGAUUCGUCUUAAGUGUUUAUAGCCUCUUGCCUAUGCAGUCGGAGAGAUUGAGGUCUGCAGCGUAGAUCCUUCGGGGCUAAAUGCAUUUGUGCUAAGUUAUAACAUUUUAUAGACAACUUGUUGACUAUGAUUUGUCUUGUAGCUUACUCGCUUAUGUUAUUUUACCUACGCUUAGGAUGUUGAACGCGCACAGAGUCUC